CUAGCACUCUGUUUUAUUGAGGGAUAAACAGGAAGGCUGGGAGCAGGUCAGAGGCAGAGCUGGAGUCAGAGCCUGUUCUUCUCUCCCACCCAGCAGGGUCCUGGUUGGGCAAGGCCUGAUCCUAAGCCCUUGAGCAGGAGAAGAAACAAGACCAGGAGAGCUUUAGCGCCUGCCUCAGGACCCGCAGCCAGGGCUGGUGGACAAGUCUCUCGGCACGAGGUCUAGAUUCACACUGUGAGUGGCUCAGGAUGUUGUUCAUUGUGUCAACUUGAGAACUGUAGAAGCUUAAGUGACUCAGCAGGGGCCCAGGGUCUUCACUUUAUCAACAUCCUGAGCCUGUACAAGAGGAGUGCAUCAAGAUGGUUGUUGCCCCUGUGCCAUGCCAUCCUGCCUUGUAGCCAGCUGAUUAUGGACUGAAACCUCCACAAACACUUAUCUCAGAGUGGCCUUGGUUCCAGUGACAGAGGGUAUAAACAAGGAUGUCAAAUCUUCAACAUCACCAGAACUGCUUGGUCACUAGCUUCCCACACUCCAGAGGACCCUGGCCAAUCAACAACAACAACAAUGACAACAGCAAACAGAGCAAUAAUAAUACAAAUGACCAUCACUGUGUCCCUGGUAACACUGCAUUGAAUCCUGGGAGCAUCACCCCAGCUUGGCAUUAUUCCCAUCUCGAGGAUGAGGAAGCUGAGGCCUGAAUCGGGAAAGGGACUUAUCCAGGGUCCGAUAUGGCCAGGAAAUUUAGACCUCUGGCUGCAACCCAGACAUCCUGGUUGCAUGCCAAAAAUUCAAACCGAACCAACCUCCUGCAGACAAUGGUCCAUCUGUCCUCAGAAACCUCAUCUGGCCAUCCACACAGGUACUGCCUGCCUUGGGGACAUGAAGGAAGCUCUCAGUGGGUGCUGGUGAGACUGUGCAGAGCGUAUGGAGGGAAGUGUGACUGUCAGGGCGUGGGCCAGGUGUUCACAAGGAGGUGGGCAGGUGCUAGAGGGGUGCAUGACUGUGUGGGUAUGAGGGAGCUGUGUGCAGGGCCUGGGCUGCUACCCGAUGCAGAAACAUGAAACGCUAAGGACAGAAGAGACUGCAGGGAAGAAGUGAUGCAUGUGCCCAGAGAUGUGCACACUGGUGUGUGAGCAUGACACAGGUACCCACUCUGGGUGAGCGUCAGGUUCCCCUCUCCAACCCCGUCUCUGGAUCCCUGCCCUCCCCCGGACUUUAUCUGGCUGGGCAGCCCUGCUCUCUGCACAGCAGCAGAUAAUUGAUUAAUAGAACUGGUCCUUGGCUCUUCAAGGUCUGGCUACAGAUAAGAGGAGACGCAAGUACCAGCCAGAGGGGGUACUGCAGAUUCCAGGGCUGAGCUCUGAGGCCAAAGGCCAUAGGCACCCCUAUCCCAGCCCUCAGCUCUCCCUCUGAUGCCAGGGUUCCCCCUGUUGCCAGAGCAACACGUGCCAGGAAGAGGCAACACCAUUAGUCUCUAGAGGACAUGGACAGACAAACAAAUUAAUAGCUUAGUGUCCCCCCCCUCCCCACACCCACUCAUCCCAGCUCAGCACCUAUUGGGUAGUCAGCGGGGGGUGACUCCUAGAGCCCCAGAGGCUGAUAAAUACAGGGCCUGCCUCAGCGACAUCACAGCCCUGGCGGCCUCUAAGGACAUCCUCCAGGCCAGCAAGACAGAUGGAAUCUCAAAGGCCCAGUCCCUGAGGGGAGGCCAUCACUCAGAUCUGCCAUUAUUUGGGGCCAGGACUGCUGGCUGCUGCCAGCAGGAGAGGUUGGGGGGAAUGGACAGACAGAACCAUCCAGGAACAGCAGUGACAGGAAAUGCUCCCCACCGCAGAUUUUUGGUUGUCAGGACACUGUGCUGAUGUACGGUUAGAGCGAGUGCCACCCUACCUGUCAACAGCCCUGCGGGACAAGUACUGUCACCAUCUCAUCUGUAAGAGCUCAGAGAAAUCAGGAAAGGGGACAGAUGGAGCUUUAGACAGUCACAGUCCUGGCCUUUAGGGUAGGAGAGGAAAAAGCCAGUGGAGAACACACAGCUCCUCCCAGGGCUCCUUUCAAGCUGCCAUAGCACCCCCAGGACUAACUCCAGGAUGGCUAGGGCCCAGGGCAAGCAGGUUAGGUGGAAGAUGGGGGGACCCUGGCUCGUAUCCCAGGGGAUAGGUCACAUAGCCACACCUCCUACAGCCAUGAAGCAGCGAUGGCCUGCUGGUCUCCGUGGAACAGUACUGCCCCAAUCUGCCAGGCAGUACUUCUAGAACAUUCUCACCAUCCUGGCAUGGCCCAAGCAUGGCAUGCCCUGCAGCCUCCUUUAGCUGGGCCUACUCUAGACUGAUCAUUAGGAUUUCUCUUAAUGCCAGGGGUAGAACACCAGACCUCAAGCAUGCUAAGCCCAUGUUCUACUGCCCUGGAAUGGCAAUAUAUGGUGAAAUAGCAAAUCCAGGGUCAAAGAGGCAGCAGACCUCAUUUUACCCGUAGAGAAACUGAGGCCAGAAUGAGCUAACAUGAUGUUGGUUGCAGAGCUGGUCCACGCAGGCUGGAAUUUGGGCUCACACAUUCUGAAGUGUACCUGGACCUUGUGGAGAGUGGGGCCAAAGCCACCAAACAUAUGUAAAGCAUAAUUCAGAUUUCCAACCUCUCCUCCUCCUCCUGCUCCAUCCACUUCUGCCCCAUUUUCCUCGCUUCCAUCCUAUCCCAGCACCUGUCUCCUCCUCCUGCUCUUCCCCGUCCUUUUUCAUCUUCAUUUUGUCUUUGUUCUUUUUGCUGUUCCUCCUUCUUCCUUGCACAUUCUCUUGCUUAAGAGCAGCAUCAAAAUGUCCUCUGGUUUCAGAUUAAACAAGAUCUCUCUAUGAGGAAGAUCUCAGUGUCCCUACUCUUUGUUUGCAGUAGACAGAAUAAUGGCCCCAAACAGGGACCCUUCCCUCCUUGAGAUCCAGGAAGUAUUAGGUUAUGGGAAAAGGGGAACUAAGGCCAGCUGGCCUUGACAUGAAGAGAGUGUCCCAUAAUGAGGGCCCAACAUCAUCCCAGGAUACACAAGAGGUGGCAGCAUGGGAGGGACUCAGUCUAACAAUGCUGACUUUGAAGAAAUAAAAGGGACAUCCAGUUGAGGAAUGCAGCAGCCUCCAGACACUAGAAAAAGCAAAGAACCAGAUUUUCUCUUAGAGUUUCAGAAAGAAAACAGCCUGCACAACACCUUGAUUUUAACCUCAUGAGACCCACUUUGGAAUUCUGAUCGAGAUCUCCUCUGCUUUAUCUUUGUAGUCCACAGCUUUACUAAGAGCUUCCUUUCUGGGCAACUCACAGCAUUUUAAAUCAUUCUGCUGUAUUCUUUGCUCUUGAUUCUCCUGGAGAAGCUUAUCAUGCUUGAUAUGAAUUCAGUUGUUCUCAUCAUCAGAGGAGCUUGUCCUUGCUGUCGCUGAGGAUGGCUGCAGUUCUUUUCAAGAGAUCUCUGGUUCUUACUUUGAACAUUCCUUACUAGCUGUAUUGUAGAUCCCUCAGCCUGCCAGCUCAGAUCUUUCACCACGCUGACACAGACUUUCUAGCUUCCACUGCUGAUUUCUGGGCCUUCCCAGUACAGAUCAUUGGUACAGACUUGCAUGGGACAUUGCCAUGGGCUCUAGACUUCUAGCUGAACUCAUGGAGGACAUUGUCAUGGGCUCUAGGUCUUCAGUUGGCCUCCUGCAGGACAUUACUAUGGGAUCUAGGCCCUCAGCUAGAUUUUUUGGGUCUCUAGUGUAUGGACAGAUCUCUGGCACUCUGCAUUUAACUCUGUGGGUAAAUAUUAUUAAAUAAUCCUAUAAAUUAUGUAUCUUGUAUUAAAUCUAUUCCCUUAAAGCUCUUGACUACAACAAAUUUGGUGCCAGAGAAGUAGUGUUGUUGCUGUGACUAUACUUGGCCAUGUGGUUCAGGAGCCUUUGGGAAUGGUUUAUGGGAAGUGUUUGGAAUGAUUUGGAGAUCCCAGGUGAAAAAGUAGAGAUAUUAUGCCUUAGGCUCUCCUGUAUGGGAGACUCUGACCAGAGCUCAGAAGACCAGAAAGACAGUAAAGACCAGGCUCUGGAGAUUUCUGCUUCGAAGAAGGACUCCAGAUAAUGUAUAGUAUGGCUUGGCAGAAAGUUUGUCUGCAUUUUACUUGUGUCCAGACACUUUGCCUGAGACUGAGAUGCAGGACAGUGAACUAAUUAUUCCUAUAGAAGAAAUUUCAAGGCAAUUGAAUGUUGAAGGAGUAGCAUGGCUACUGUUGGAAGUUUUUACCCAAAUCUGUAUUGAGAAUCAAGAUGAAAGAGCACAGUAGAAUGAUUUAAAACAGUGUGAGUUUGGUGAGAAAGGAAGACAAAGCUGUGGACAAGAAAGAUAAAGGACAUAAUUUAAUUGCUGAGAAGGAACAGGAGAAUAGAAAAGAUGGCCUGAAGGCAUCACAAGAGGCAACAGGACUUCACCCUUUGCAGUAUCAAAGUUGCAAAAGUGAAAGACUUCGCUUUGAGAAGAGAUCCCAAGAGCACCAUGUUCCACAAUGGCAGCAGCAUAGAGAAUUUGUUUCUCAGAAUUGGAUUCAGAGUGCUCAGUGAUCCAGACACUUGGUUCCAACAACCAAGGAAGAGGGAAGCCUGGCUACUGCUCUUGCAGGCAGCAGAUUCUGGCAUCUGGUGCUCUUUUUAUUCUAUUUUAUUUUAUAUAUUGGAGACACAGUCUUGCUAUGCAGUUCAGGCUGGCCUGGAACUGACUUUGUAGCCCAGGUUGUCUCAAACUUACAACAAUUCUCCUGCUUCAGCCUCCCAAGUGCUGGGAUUACAAGUAUGCACUGCCUCACCCAGCUUGCAGAGCUGGUUUUAAAUGUACACAGAAUGAAAGAGUUAUGGGGUCAGGCAGGCUUCCACUCAUAUUUCAGAAGGAGGCUUUGGAAGUGAGGCAGUGUGCCCUUAAAAAGGCAGUGUGCAAAACUGGAGUGUGAAGCCAAAAGUUCAGUGGGGACCCCAGAAGAAGCCAGGAGUGUGGAUUGUCAGAAUAACUGUAAAGAGGGUGCAGAUCAGGACCAAGAGAGAAGCCAUGGGAGCUACAACCACAGGAAAUGCUAUAGGGGUGGAGCCAUCCAAACUCUCUGGAGUUCACAUCUUGCCACUGAUUGCCUCAGAUGCUGCACGUGGAACUAAAUGACUUAAUGUUUACCCUGCUGGAUUUUGAACUUGCUCUGGUCCCAGUCCUUUGUAUCUCUCUAUUUGUAACUUUUGGAAUGGAAAAGUCUAUAUUGUAUCAUUGAAUUAGAGAUGCUUAACUUUCUUUUCAUUUGUACAGGGGCUCAUAACUAAGAGUUUGCCUUAAAUCCAGAGAUUUCAGGAUUGAACUUUUCAGCAAUGUGAAACCGUUAGGACUGUGGCAACUCUUAGAAAUGGACUAAAUGCUUUUUGGGUAAAGAAAUGUACGUAAGUCUUUGGGGAGUCAGGGAUGAAAUGUUAUGCCUUGCGUCUAGAUGUCUCCCUAAAGCCUCACAUAGUUUUAGAAGGAGCUAUUUCAGAGAUAGCUGAAUCUAGAGCUUAUGAUUCAUUGACAGUUCAAGGUGCUUGGGUUAAGGGUAUAAGGUUGCACCUGCUCUAGGCUGCCCUAGGGUGGGUAGACUGCAUAGAACAUAAGGGACAGAAAGAGGCUUGCUACCUCCUUCUCUAUCAUUGUUUUUACUCUCUUCCACUGCUAUGAACUAUUGUCCUUAUGGUAUGUACCACUGAGGCUUGGAGCCAAUUGAUUAUGGACUGAAACCUCCACAAACUGUGAGCUAUAUAAAUCUUUCCUUCUUGAACUUUGAGUGUCGAGUAUUUUUUCUCAAAAUUGAGAGAAAAGUAACUAAGACAGCAGUAAACCUUUUUUUUCAAAUUCCAUUUUUUGUGGUCAUUGGUCUUUGUCUACAGCAAACCAGUGUACCAUCCAUGUCCCCCAAAGCUAACUCUAAAUUAUGCCAACUCCAUCAUUACCACAACUACCCAUGUGGGCCUCUAAACUGUCUCCCAGGAUUGAUUUCCAGUGCAUGGCUCUGUCCCUAUGAAUCUUCCACGCCAGUCACUCUUUCCCUUUCUGUUAUUUAUAGGCAUCGGUCAUGGAGUGAGCCCCUCCACGGUCUUUUCUUCCCUUUGCCCAGCAUUCCUCAGAAUUCAGUUCUGACUGCAUCUCCAGAAACAUCUUUCAAAUCUCAUUCCUUGCUCCAAGCUUCCCAUUGAGUUGUGGGGCCUACCAUGCCCAGGCCAAAGUUCCUGAAGCAUAGACUCAGUCUGCCUGCUACUAAAGUGUUUGAGGAGGGCAGCAUGGUCUCUGCUGGCUGUGUGGUCUUAGACCCAGGCCCUCUCUAGACCUCUGACACCUAUCUAUGCAACAGAAUGGAGCCCCUUAAGUUCUAUGGAAGGCCAACUCCCAAGCACCUGCCUUCUCUCCUUUCUGCUUGUCACCAUAAAGAGAGGACAGGGGAGGGGAGAAGGAGAGGGAAGAAGGGAAAGAAGAGGGAGGAGAGGGGAGAUCUUCAUCCUUACAGAAAUUGUAUUCAAAUGUUUUAUUAUGUUCUCUGGCUCGGGCAGCACCUUAGUUAAUGGUGUGUCAGAUGAUGGUACAAAUUUAUAGCUGAAGGUUUACAUCACAGACAGCUGGA